rnacentral:rRNA from 1 species
AGUCGAGCGGCAGCGGGAGGAAGCUUGCUUCCUCGCCGGCGAGCGGCGUACGGGUGAGUAAUGUCUGGGAAACUGCCCGAUGGAGGGGGAUAACUACUGGAAACGGUAGCUAAUACCGCAUAACGUCGCAAGACCAAAGUGGGGGACCUUCGGGCCUCACACCAUCGGAUGUGCCCAGAUGGGAUUAGCUAGUAGGUGGGGUAAUGGCUCACCUAGGCGACGAUCCCUAGCUGGUCUGAGAGGAUGACCAGCCACACUGGAACUGAGACACGGUCCAGACUCCUACGGGAGGCAGCAGUGGGGAAUAUUGCACAAUGGGCGCAAGCCUGAUGCAGCCAUGCCGCGUGUGUGAAGAAGGCCUUCGGGUUGUAAAGCACUUUCAGCGAGGAGGAAGGCGUUGUAGUUAAUAACUGCAGCGAUUGACGUUACUCGCAGAAGAAGCACCGGCUAACUCCGUGCCAGCAGCCGCGGUAAUACGGAGGGUGCAAGCGUUAAUCGGAAUUACUGGGCGUAAAGCGCACGCAGGCGGUCUGUUAAGUCAGAUGUGAAAUCCCCGGGCUUAACCUGGGAACUGCAUUUGAAACUGGCAGGCUAGAGUCUCGUAGAGGGGGGUAGAAUUCCAGGUGUAGCGGUGAAAUGCGUAGAGAUCUGGAGGAAUACCGGUGGCGAAGGCGGCCCCCUGGACGAAGACUGACGCUCAGGUGCGAAAGCGUGGGGAGCAAACAG